rnacentral:rRNA from 1 species
CAGGCAGUGGAGCGUUUUGGGGUGGGGUGACUGCGUACCUUUUGUAUAAUGGGUCAGCGACUUAUAUUCUGUAGCAAGGUUAACCGCAUAGGGGAGCCGAAGGGAAACCGAGUCUUAACCGGGCGUUAAGUUGCAGGGUAUAGACCCGAAACCCGGUGAUCUAGCCAUGGGCAGGUUGAAGGUUGGGUAACACUAACUGGAGGACCGAACCGACUAAUGUUGAAAAAUUAGCGGAUGACCUGUGGCUGGGGGUGAAAGGCCAAUCAAACCGGGAGAUAGCUGGUUCUCCCCGAAAGCUAUUUAGGUAGCGCCUCGUGAAUUCAUCUCCGGGGGUAGAGCACUGUUUCGGCCAGGGGGCCAUCCCGGCUUACCAAUCCGAUGCAAACUGCGAAUACCGGAGAAUGUUAUCACGGGAGACACACGGCGGGUGCUAACGUCCGUCGUGAAGAGGGAAACAACCCAGACCGCCAGCUAAGGUCCCAAAGUCAUGGUUAAGUGGGAAACGAUGUGGGAAGGCCCAGACAGCCAGGAUGUUGGCUUAGAAGCAGCCAUCAUUUAAAGAAAGCGUAAUAGCUCACUGGUCGAGUCGGCCUGCGCGGAAGAUGUAACGGGGCUAAACCAU